rnacentral:rRNA from 1 species
UACGUAGGGGGCUAGCGUUAUCCGGAAUUACUGGGCGUAAAGGGUGCGUAGGUGGUUUCUUAAGUCAGAGGUGAAAGGCUACGGCUCAACCGUAGUAAGCCUUUGAAACUGGGAAACUUGAGUGCAGGAGAGGAGAGUGGAAUUCCUAGUGUAGCGGUGAAAUGCGUAGAUAUUAGGAGGAAUACCAGUUGCGAAGGCGGCUCUCUGGACUGUAACUGACACUGAGGCACGAAAGCGUGGGGAGCAAACAGGAUUAGAUACCCUGGUAGUCCCUGAG